rnacentral:lncRNA from 1 species
AGUAUCUGACUGGGACUUUUUGUGAUUUUACAUCAGGUGCAGCUGCUUUAAGGCAACACAGUUUCUCAUGUCCUUUAUGUCUGGCUGUCCCAUGGUCUGGAGACAUUGUCGGGGGAACAAGCCUGAGCUGGUCUCUGACUUCCUGGAGUUACACUCGAUUUGGGGAGAUGGAUGGAUGGAUGGCAUACAAGGGACCGACCAGAGAGCGUGGGGAAGGCAUUCUGUUCUUCUUGAUCCAGCUGAUUUGUGAUUGUAGGUGUGGUUCAUUGGUUCGUCCUGUUUUCUGCUCUGUAGCUGACAUCCGGAGAGCACACUGACAUAGGUGAGAAUAAGCCACUGAUGGAUUUUGAUCAAAAUAUUCUAUAAUAUUUAGUGCUUUCAUUUACUGCAUCUGAAAAUGGAAAUCAACACUUGAAAUUUUGGGGAGUGGGAAGCUUUAUUGGAGUUCCAUCUAUCGAAGAUUACAAAGAGCAGAGCAUGGGACUCAGUGUGUUAUCCCGGAGUGUGUUCUCCUGGAGAGAACACGUCCUGUAACCACCUCCUGGGACACGAAAGAGAAUAUAGCCAACAUUCCUGCCUGCCCCUAGGCUGAGACUCUCCUUUUCUCCUCAAAAAUAACCACUCUGCUGACUGUUUUUUAUUUUUUUUUGUUUUUGUUUUUGUCUCAGC